UCACCACUGUGUCCUGGCCUUUCUCUGCCCAUAUCACAGCUCACAGGCGGCUGGGGCAAACCUUGAGUUCCUCUGUAGAAACAGAGUGAUGUUGAAUGGACACUGAGCAGGCAGAGCAACACAGCUGAGGCAACUCAAUUCCAGCAACAAAUGCAUUAUUUGUUUCCCAUCUUAACAGCUCCUUUUGAGGUCUUGUCCCCACACCUAGCUUAAACACAGCAAUUUUCAUACAUGCCAGCCUGCUAUUUCAUAUUGUUGCUGUAAUACGCCUCCACAUCAUAGAUUUCAAAAAAAUAUAUACCUAACACUGAAAAGGGUGAUGCUUGUCAACAUCUAGUGCGUUGGGGGCCCAGGUACGGUCACAAAUAACCAGGACACAGGGGAUGCAGAGCAAAGGCAGAUGCAACUGCAUGCAGCUGCAAGCUUAUUAACCCUUAUAUAGGCAUGAAUAUGCAUUACCUCACAUUCCCUUUUGGCAAGAUAUAAUAAGAUCGUUAUUCCCAUGAUACCAGGAACAACCGAGGCAAGACUAGGCAAAGAAGUAAGACUAAGCCAAGGCUUCUUCUUAAAAUAUCUGUAUAGCAAAUCACCCCUCUUCCUAGUAUCACAAUAUACUUGUCAUAACCCAGAGAGCAUGAGAGCCGCUUCCACAAACAUAGGACACAGUGCAACAGAGUGUGAGGUAAAGUGAGAAAAAACAUUUUCUUCUCAAGGACAGCAUUCCAGCCCCUGCUUGCAUCUCUCAGCCGUCUUUCCUUGAUCCUGUCUGGGAAGUUAUCUCAAUGACUCCACAAUGUCUUUCUUUGUUCUUUUGUUUUAAAAGUAACACUUUCUAUAACAUAGCUAAAUGUCCUGGAAGGGGUUUAAUCGUGCAAAAAGAAAGCAAUGUAAUAUAUAAUGUAUGCAACCUUUAAUGACUGUAUCUAUUUUCUUAGGGGUAUUUUUCAGAUAUCUUCCCAGAUCUGGAUUUAACUUUGGUAAUUGUUAUCUGUCUAGAAAAUCAACAAUAUCGAAUAAAUAUUCCAGUUUUCUGGCGUAAAGUCCUCGGGAGUAAGAACUAAUGAUUUUGGAAUUUGCUCGGUGUCUAUUGUUAUGUCCCUCAUUUCAUUUCUGAUUUUUAAUUUAUGUAUUGUCUCUCUUGUGCAUUGUUAGUUUGAGGAAGGGGUUGUCUCUCUUGUGGAUCUUCUCAAAAAAAAAAAAGAGGAAGAAAAGACAGCUCUUGCUUUCCUUGACUUUGUAUUUUUCUCUUUGUUUCUAAAGGCUUGAUUUCAACCCUGAGUUUAUUGCCCUUCAUCAGAUCCUACCAGACUCUCUAUGGGAUGAGGCUUUGCCUCACCUUGGUAACAGCAGCAUGGAAUAAAUGAAGCUUCUGCUGAUCUCUGUUGUGGUGUUGCACAUCACAAUCUCACCGAAAACCAUGCAUAGCCUGGUUUUAGGCUCUAUUAAAGCGGCCCACUAUUUCAGUGUUCCCUGCAAGGUGCCAUGGAACAGUAGUAACAUAAUUCUGCAUGCACAUCGACAGGUUUCUCCACGGUCUUCUGGGUCAUUUGAUAAUAAUUUAUAGGCAGGCUGGAUGACGACACUCAGCUGACAAUGUGGACAUCUCAAGACAGUCACUGGACAAUGGCUGACACACUUGUCUGAAGACUGGAAAUGUUUCUCGAUCUUGGAGAGGAAAGAAGGACCCUCCAACUACACUGUACUCUAAGGAAGUUUAUUCAGGUGAGGGAUGACAUGGACUGUUUUGUCUCAUGUCACACAUGUCAGUAGUAAAUAUCCUAGGUAUUGGAUGGCGCUGUUAGCAUUUACAGAACAAAGCCCAUAGUGUUGGGAAGAUUAAUAAAUUAUGAGUAGGAUUAGAAAACCCCAAGCCUCUUCCAGGUUCUAGGAGAGCAAAAAAAAAA